UCGCCCUGUUUUACAAAAACAUGUCCUUUUGAUAAUAAUUUAAGGUCUAGCCUGCCCACUGAAAAUUUAAAUGGCCGCGGUAUUUUGACCGUGCAAAGGUAGCAUAAUCAUUAGUUUUUUAAUUGAAAGCUGGUAUGAAGGGUUGAAUGAGAAAAAAUCUGUCUCUAUUAAAUUUUUAUUAAAAUUUUAUUUUUAAGUUAAAAAGCUUAAAUUUUAUUAAAAGACGAGAAGACCCUAUAGAGUUUUAUAAAAAUUUUAUUAUUAAGUUUUUAGAAUUUUAAUUUUAAUUUUAAUUUUUUAUUUAAUUGGGGUGAUUAAAAAAUUUAAAGAACUUUUUUUCAAAAAAAACAUUUUUAAAUGAUUAUUUGAUCCAUAAAUUAUGAUUACAAGAUAAAAUUACCUUAGGGAUAACAGCGUAAUUUUUUUUAAGAGUUCUAAUCGAAAAAAAAGAUUGCGACCUCGAUGUUGGAUUAAAAUUUAAUUUUGGUGUAGAAGCUAAAAUUUAGGUCUGUCGACCUUUAAU
rnacentral:rRNA from 1 species